GAGGCUUUGGCGAGAAGGGGUGAAGAAAUUCGAAUCAAUAACAGCUCAGUAAACCUGGGACUGGUGCCAGGCAGCAACUGCAGUAUGCAUUCUGUUUUUAGUGGAGGAAACUACCUUUACUCAUCUGGUUUAGCACGAUUUUCAGCAGAGUUGUGUCUGAUAGAUAUCAUACAUUUUUGAAGAAGCAGCUGUAUGGAUUGAUGUAAAGAAUGCUUUAUGUUAUUUCCGUGGAUAAGGUGUACCACAAAAACACUUCCUGGAAAAGUUCCAGAACAUGGUGGAAAUGAAAUGCAGUGAAAAACAAAGAACUUGCUCAAAUUGUACUAAUUGCAUCAUAGACAACUUUAAAGUGAUAUCCUCAUGGGCCAGUGCAUAUAA